CUGUUAGGGGAAUGACGUAUUACUACAGAGCAAUCAAGAUGCUUGCUUUUCUUGAUUCUGCUACUGAGGCCGACCUUCAUGAAGG